GGCUUUGUAGUUCACCUGGUAGAACGCGUGCCGCGUAGAGGAAUGGUGUUCCUGGUUCGAAUCCAGCCAAAGCCC